ensembl:lncRNA
GCCAGGGAAAUUUUGGCUGGCGGAGAUCAUACAUAUGCUGUAUGCAGAGCCAUGGUCCCUGCCACUGCGCAGGGAUCUGCUGUCACAGGUGGGGGGGGGGGGAUAUUUCAUCCUCAUCCAGAAUGCCUGGCACUGUGGGCCUGGCCAGUGAGUGGCUAAAUAUGAAUGCCGCUGGUCUGCCAGACAGGGUCAUCAGAACUAUACAGAAUUCCAGGGCCCUGUCCACUCGGUCACUCUAUGAAUGUAAAUGGGGCGUGUUUGAGCGUUGGUGUGCGGCUAGACAUGUAAUCCCCUUUCAGUAUUCAGUGGCAGUUAUCCUAUCGUUUCUGCAGGAUAUGAUAGAUCAGGGUAAGGCAUUCUCAACAAUAAAGGUGUUUCUUGCCGCAAUAUCUGCCUGUCAUGUAGGUUUUGAUAACAAAACUGUGGGGCAGCACCCUUUGGUAUGCCGGUUUAUGAAGGGUGCGCGUCGCGCUUUGCCAGUUUCAAAACCGAUCUCUCCGUCAUGGGAUCUGGUUCUGGUGCUUGAUGCACUUUCUGUGUCUCCAUUUGAGCCACUGGACAAAGCUUACCUGAAAUUAUUGUCGUUUAAGACGGCGCUGCUGUUAGCUUUGGCUUCAGCGAAGCGCGUAAGUGAAAUUCACGCACUUUCUGUGAAUUCAGCGUGUACGCAAUUUAUGCCAGGGGACGCAGGGGUGCUUUUGAAACCUAAUCCUGUUUUUAUGCCCAAGGUGGUCAAUUCUAUUGUUCCUCUCAAGUUAAGAGGCUUAAACCCACCGCCUUUUGCUUCAGCAGAACAGCAAAGGCUUGAAUACGUUAUGUCCGGUGCGUGCUUUGUGCAUUUACACUGAGAGGACUAAAGGGUUCAGAGAGAGUGAGCAGCUGUUUGUGUCUUGGGCGAAGCCACGUAUAGGGAAGCCGAUUACUAAACAGCGUUUAUCCCACUGGAUAGUGGAGGCAAGGAGUUAGGACAUCCCAUAGUGAGACACCAAAACGUAUGCUUGAAAGAGAACAAUAGGUUACUUGCGUAACCCCGGUUCCCUGAUAGCAUUAAGUGAGGUGUCUCACUACUGGAUACGCCCCUUCCGCGUAUUCCUCAGAAGCCCAAUACCAUUA